GUCUAUGGCCAUGCCACCCAGAACAAGCCCGAUCCUGUCUGAACUUGGAGGCUAAGCAGGGUCGGGCCUGGUUAGUACUUGGAUGGGAGACCACCUAGGAAGACCAGGUGCCGUAGGUG
rnacentral:rRNA from 1 species